AGAAUACUCCCUCCGUCCGAAAAAACUUGUCCCUCAAAUGGAUGUAUCUAGCACCAAAUUAGUGCUAGAUACAUCCAUUUGAAAGACAAGCUUGGGACAAGCUUUUUCGGACGGAGUGAUACUAA
rnacentral:pre_miRNA from 1 species